rnacentral:rRNA from 1 species
AACGACUUAACUGAACCUUCGGGCAACGUUAAGGGCGUCCAGCGGCGGACGGGUGAGUAAUGCCUGGGAAUAUGCCUUGAUGUGGGGGAUAACUAUUGGAAACGAUAGCUAAUACCGCAUAAUGCCUUCGGGCCAAAGAGGGGGACCUUCGGGCCUCUCGCGUCAAGAUUAGCCCAGGUGGGAUUAGCUACUUGGUGAGGUGAAGGCUCACCAUGGCGACGAUCCCUAUCUGGUCUGAGAGGAUGAUCAGCCGCACUGGAUCUGAGACACGAUCCAAAUCUAUACGGGAGGCAGCAGUGGGGAAUAUUGCACAAUGGGCGCAAGCCUGAUGCAGCCAUGCCGCGUGUGUGAAGAAGGCCUUCGGGUUGUAAAGCACUUUCAGUCGUGAGGAAGGUGGUGUAGUUAAUAGCUGCAUCAUUUGACGUUAGCGACAGAACAAGCACCGGCUAACUCCGUGCCAGCAGCCGCGGUAGUACGGAGGGUGCGAUCGUUAAUCGGAAUUACUGCGCGUAAAGCUCAUGCCGGUGGGUGAUUAAGUCAGAUGUGAAAUCCCGGGCCUCACCCUCGGAACAGCUUAUGAACUGGUUACCUCCAGUACUGUGGAGGGGGG